rnacentral:snoRNA from 1 species
ACUGUCGCGGUCACCUCCCCAUGGAAUCUUAACACUGGACUCGGUGGUCGUAAAAGGAGGAAGAGUAAAUACUGGAGCUCGCGUCACAGGGCUCGGAGCCUGCGAAGUAACGCACGGAUUUGUUUCAAACAAGG